rnacentral:hammerhead_ribozyme from 1 species
AUCUAACUGACGAGUCCCAAAUGGGACGAAACGCGUGUCCUGGAU